UACGUAGGGUGCGAGCGUUGUCCGAAAUUAUUGGGCGUAAAGAGCUCGUAGGCGGUGUGUCACGUCGUUCGUGAAAACCUGCAGCUUAACUGUGGGCGUGCGGUCGAUACGGGCAUCACUGGAGUUCGGCAGGGGAGACUGGAAUUCCUGGUGUAGCGGUGAAAUGCGCAGAUAUCAGGAGGAACACCGGUGGCGAAGGCGGUUCUCUGGGCCUUACCUGACGCUGAGGAGCGAAAGCGUGGGGAGCGAACAGG
rnacentral:rRNA from 1 species